UAGCCUAGUUUCUCUUCAGAUCAUAUAAGUCUUUCACCUUUAGAGAUUUCUGUGGAGAGGAAUAACACUGAGUCAUAAACCAAAUUUUUUGAGGCUUUAUUUUAAUAGGGAU